UACGGAGGGUGCAAGCGUUGUCCGGAUUUAUUGGGUUUAAAGGGUGCGUAGGCGGCUUUUUAAGUCAGCGGUGAAAUACUUCAGCUCAACUGGAGUCGUGCCGUUGAUACUGGGAAGCUUGAGUACUGAUGAAGUGGGCGGAAUUGAUAGUGUAGCGGUGAAAUGCAUAGAUAUUAUCAAGAACACCGAUUGCGAAGGCAGCUCACUAAGGAGUAACUGACGCUGAGGCACGAAAGCGUGGGUAGCAAACAGG
rnacentral:rRNA from 1 species